UCCGAGUCGCUUGUUCAAGGCUUCAUUCCACAUGUUGGCAGCAUAAGCAGGUUGUAUUUGGUUCCAUACUGUCAUAACAGAUGCAACCAGGUGUGCAUCCAAGGGAGGUGGAUAGUUCCCGCUAACAGUGUCUAUCCAGCUAAAUAUCAUGUUAUGAUAUCCAUAAGGUUUGCCAUUCAUACUCAAUGCAUACUCCCAUGCGGCAGUCUCAUUAAACUUGGCUCGCAAAUCAGGAUGAAGAGGAAGCAGCGCAAUAUGUGGAUUAGAGUCAUCCUUAGUCA
rnacentral:misc_RNA from 1 species